AUUAUUGACUCAAAUAUUUUGUCAUAAAUUUUUGUUCUGUUUCUCUUAGGCUAAAGAAAGCUUCUGUAGAUAAAAAAUUGUCAGAAGAAUCAUCUGGUGGUGACCCAAUUAAUGUAAUGGCAUUCAUAUGUAGUGGGCAGGUCAAACUGAGAAAAGCUAAAGUAGAAGAAAAGAAACCUUUAGCUCCUGCUGAUCCGAUGGCUAGUAUGAUUGCAUCAAUAAGAAGUGGUAAUGUCGCUUUAAGGAAAGUACAGAAAGAAA